GAUGCGAGGUUAAGUUGAAGAGACGGAGCCGUAGGGAAACCGAGUCUUAAUAGGGCGCAUUAGUAUCAUGUCGUAGACCCGAAACCAUGUGACCUACCCAUGAGCAGGUUGAAGGUGAGGUAAAACUCACUGGAGGACCGAACCAGGGCACGUUGAAAAGUGCUUGGAUGACUUGUGGGUAGCGGAGAAAUUCCAAACGAACUUGGAGAUAGCUGGUUCUCUCCGAAAUAGCUUUAGGGCUAGCGUCGAUGUUAAGUCUCUUGGAGGUAGAGCACUGUUUGGGUGAGGGGUCCAUCCCGGAUUACCAAUCUCAGAUAAACUCCGAAUGCCAAUGAGAUAUAAUCGGCAGUCAGACUGCGAGUGCUAAGAUCCGUAGUCGAAAGGGAAACAGCCCAGACCACCAGCUAAGGUCCCAAAAUAUAUGUUAAGUGGAAAAGGAUGUGGGGUUGCACAGACAACUAGGAUGUUAGCUUAGAAGCAGCUAUUCAUUCAAAGAGUGCGUAAUAGCUCACUAGUCGAGUGACCCUGCGCCGAAAAUGUACCGGGGCUAAAACAUAUUACCGAAGCUGUGGAUACCUUUAUAGGUAUGGUAGGAGAGCGUUCUAUGUGCGAAGAAGGUGUACCGUGAGGAGUGCUGGAGCGCAUAGAAGUGAGAAUGCCGGUAUGAGUAGCGAAAGACAGGUGAGAAUCCUGUCCACCGUAAGACUAAGGUUUCCAGGGGAAGGCUCGUCCGCCCUGGGUUAGUCGGGACCUAAGGAGAGACCGAAAGGUGUAUCCGAUGGACAACAGGUUGAUAUUCCUGUACUAGAGUAUAUAGUGAUGGAGGGACGCAGUAGGCUAACUAAACCAGACGAUUGGAAGUGUCUGGCCAAGCAGUGAGGUGUGAUAUGAGUCAAAUGCUUAUAUCUUUAACAUUGAGCUGUGAUGGGGAGCGAAGUUUAGUAGCGAAGUUAGUGAUGUCACACUGCCGAGAAAAGCUUCUAGCGUUAAUUAUACUCUACCCGUACCGCAAACCGACACAGGUAGUCGAGGCGAGUAGCCUCAGGUGAGCGAGAGAACUCUCGUUAAGGAACUCGGCAAAAUGGCCCCGUAACUUCGGGAGAAGGGGCGCUGACUGAUGGUCAGCCGCAGUGAAUAGGCCCAAGCAACUGUUUAUCAAAAACACAGCUCUCUGCUAAAUCGUAAGAUGAUGUAUAGGGGGUGACGCCUGCCCGGUGCUGGAAGGUUAAGAGGAGUGCUUAGCGUAAGCGAAGGCAUGAAUUGAAGCCCCAGUAAACGGCGGCCGUAACUAUAACGGUCCUAAGGUAGCGAAAUUCCUUGUCGGGUAAGUUCCGACCCGCACGAAAGGCGUAAUGAUUUGGGCACUGUCUCAACGAGAGACUCGGUGAAAUUUUAGUACCUGUGAAGAUGCAGGUUACCCGCGACAGGACGGAAAGACCCCAUGGAGCUUUACUGCAGUUUGAUAUUGAGUAUCUGUACCACAUGUACAGGAUAGGUAGGAGCCUAUGACCUCGGGACGCCAGUUUCGAGUGAGGCGUUGUUGGGAUACUACCCUUGUGUUAUGGCUACUCUAACCCAGAUAGGUUAUCCCUAUCGGAGACAGUGUCUGACGGGCAGUUUGACUGGGGCGGUCGCCUCCUAAAAGGUAACGGAGGCGCCCAAAGGUUCCCUCAGAAUGGUUGGAAAUCAUUCGCAGAGUGUAAAGGUAUAAGGGAGCUUGACUGCGAGAGCUACAACUCGAGCAGGGACGAAAGUCGGGCUUAGUGAUCCGGUG
rnacentral:rRNA from 1 species